GACAGAGGCCUCAAACGUUAGGCGGAAUCACUGGGCUUAAAGCGUGUGUAGGCGGAUCGUUAAGUGUCUUGUGAAAUCCCACGGCUCACCCGUGGAACGGCUGGGCAUACUGGCGAUCUUGGGCCAACUAGGGGCAACUGGAACAAGCGGUGGAGCGGUGAAAUGCGUAGAUAUCGCUUGGAACGCCGAAGGUGAAAACAGGUUGCUGGGGUUGUGCCGACGCUGAGACACGAAAGCCAGGGGAGCAAACGGG
rnacentral:rRNA from 1 species